rnacentral:sRNA from 1 species
GUCUCGGCUGAGGCAGCCAUCUUGCUCUUGCCGCGUGCUGGUGUUGGAGGACCCUCCGCGCUUCAGAUUUACCAACAGCAUGAAUCAAGAAAAGUUAGCCAAACUUCAGGCUCAGGUCCGGAUAGGGGGCAAGGGUACAGCUCGCAGAAAGAAGAAGGUGGUACAUAGAACAGCCACAGCUGAUGACAAAAAGCUUCAGAGUUCUCUAAAAAAACUGGCUGUGAAUAAUAUAGCUGGUAUUGAAGAGGUAUGAUCACUUUGCAAGUUGUUAAAUUAUGUGGGUACAUGCACAAAUAAUUGUCUAGACCUUUCAGAUGUAAAAUAUCAGCUUAGAAAAAUCUUUGAUAUUGUCACUCUGAUGUCUUUGAAGAACUGUGGCACUUUGAUUUUUGUAUGAAAUUAAAUGAUGGUCAAAAAAAAUAAUUUUAGUAGACAGUUAAGGAUUUUCAUCAUACUUUUCAGGCUCAAGAUAUUUGCAUAUAUGACAAUUAUGUAACUGUUCUUGAAUAUUAAUAUAAAAUGUCUCUAAUAAUGUAGAAAUAAACCCCAACAUUUGUUCAGAUGAGAUAGACUUUUUUUUUUUUUUUCCCGAGAUGGAGUCUCGCU